GACGAACCGAGCGAACGUUGUUCGGAAUCACUGGGCUUAAAGGGUGCGUAGGCGGGCUGCCAAGUUUGGGGUGAAAUCCUCCGGCUCAACCGGGGAAGUGCCUCGAAUACUGGCGGUCUGGAGGGAGGUAGGGGCGUGCGGAACUAACGGUGGAGCGGUGAAAUGCGUUGAUAUCGUUAGGAACUCCGGUGGCGAAGGCGGCACGCUAGACCUCUUCUGACGCUGAGGCGCGACAGCGUGGGGAGCAAACAGG
rnacentral:rRNA from 1 species